rnacentral:rRNA from 1 species
UACGGGGGGGGGCAAGCGUUGUUCGGAAUUACUGGGCGUAAAGGGCUCGUAGGCGGCCAACUAAGUCAAACGUGAAAUCCCUCAGCUUAACUGGGGAACUGCGUGUGAGACUGGCAGGCUCGAGGGCAGGAGAGGAACGCGGAAUUCCAGGUGUAGCGGUGAAAUGCGUAGAUAUCGUUUGGAACGCCAAUGGUGAAAACAGGUUGCUGGGGGAUG